AUGGCGCCGGACAAUACAGGCUCUGUAGGCGAGCGGGCUCCGACCGCUGGGCUCACCACGCCGCGAGGAUCCCCCUGCCCCGUGCUCCACCACCACCAGUGGCCAUGGCGGGCUACACACCCGCGUGAUGGAUCCCCCGCUCCCUGCUCUAACACCGCCAGUGGCCACUCGCGCACCACCGGGAGUCCCAUGGUGGCGGCCAUGGCGACCUCUACAGACGAGCAGGCUCCGACCGCUAGGGUUUGCCGCCACUCCAGCACCGACCGAUGGGCGGCCACGGCCAUAUGCUCAUGCUCAACCGUCUCCGCCCAUGGACGUACUAACUCUGAUUUUAUUGUUCUGUAUGUGUUGACCUCGGACCUUUUUCUGUAUCUUCAGAUGUGCUCUCUCUUCUCUCUUCUCUUUGAUUUCUUCGUGUCCUUCAUAAUAGGAGGCUAG
rnacentral:rRNA from 1 species